rnacentral:rRNA from 1 species
UAAUACGUAGGGUCCAAGCGUUAAUCGGAAUUACUGGGCGUAAAGCGUGCGUAGGCGGUCUCGCAAGUCCGAUGUGAAAUCCCCGGGCUUAACCUGGGAACUGCGUUGGAAACUAUGAGGCUAGAGUGCGGCAGAGGGGGGUGGAAUUCCAGGUGUAGCAGUGAAAUGCGUAGAGAUCUGGAGGAACACCGAUGGCGAAGGCAGCCCCCUGGGUUAGCACUGACGCUCAUACACGAAAGCGUGGGGAGCAAACAGGAUUAGAUACCCUGGUAGUCCACGCCCUAAACUAUGGCAACUAGUUGUUGGAGGAUGAACUCCUUUAGUAACGCAGCUAACGCGUGAAGUUGCCCGCCUGGGGAGUACGGUCGCAAGAUUAAAACUUAAAGGAAUUGACGG